rnacentral:lncRNA from 1 species
GGGAACGUCGGAGCGCCCCUGUAGUGGUUAGUGUACAGAGCGCGGAGACGCCGCUACCACCUGCCCGGGACCCCCCACACCCGACCCCUGCGUGGCCCAGGCCCCCCGCAGCAGCGUGCGUGGGAGGCGCCCCGACGGUGGACGGCAACACUCUGAUCCCUCUGCGCCCAGCGAGGACCGGGACACCGACACGACCAGGAACAGCGUGGCAUGUUUGGAGGAGUGGAGUUGAGGGGGAAACAGCCCUGACCCUCUCAGGGGGCCGCGCGCGUGGAUGCCCCACACCCGGACAGCGGCGGUGCCAGCGUCGCACCCGAACGCACCCCAACGGCGGUAGCGCUGGGGGUCCCGGCAGCCCCCAUUCGCCCAAGCCGUUCCAGUUUAGGCCACGACAGGAAAAGUCUGGGAGCCCAGUUCUGUGUCCCCCCGCGCCGCUUCAGCGGAACAGCCCAAGAAACUUCCUGUGGUUCAGACACCUUGGUUUGUUGCAACUUUGGGCGCAGAAAGUUGGAAAGUGUGGGUGCACUCACUGAAAACGGAAAGCGUGGUCCCAAGUUUACAGAAAUGCUAAAAUGCAAACCAAAAAAUAAAUUCUCUUUUGAUUUCUCUCCUCGCGGAAAGCUGGCGAAAGCACACGUUUUAUGAUCGUCAUCUUUCAUUGAUUAUACACACGUGUGACUUGGAGUUUCCAGUAGGAAUACUGUUCUUUGACUCUCCCGUACUUCACUGAACGAGUAAUUAGUUAAAACAAGUCCCCAAAUUCCUUAAUCUCAAAAUGCAUAUGUAAAUAGAAUCUGCAUAGGAUACAAAAUAAAACGCGCAAGUGGAAAACAAUUGCUUUUCAAGUGAGUUCGAGGGUUGGCGCAGUGAAUUCGGCAUUUUUGGAGGAAGAGGCUGGAAAUGAAAGUCCCAAGAUUUAGAGAACACGCGUGUCCCCAGGUCUUGCGCAGCUGGCCAGGGGCCUCAGUUUCCCCAAGGGGAGGCCCCUGAUGUCGGGAACGGGGUUCACUGUCUCCCCAACGCAACCUUGACUCGCCGGUGGGUGGGAGCGCGCUGGCGUCGGGGGGCACGUUGCGAGCCUCCACCCUAGAUGCGGUGACGCCGCGCACAGCAGGGCACUGUGGAUCUCGGGUGGCCAAGGGCUGCCUCCGUGUGGGGCGCCCCGGCCCGCGCGCUCAGUCGGCCGGCCGCCGCGCUGUAGCUCCGACCGCGCCGCCCGGUAGAGGGCAGCGGC